AUUCUAGUCCCUCCAUCCCAAAAUUCUUGUCUUAAAAUUGUCUAGAUACGGAUGUAUCUAAUACUAAAACUUGACUUGAUACAUCCAUGUUUAGACAAAUUUAAGACAAGAAUUUUGGGACGGAGGGAGUAUAAA
rfam:Triticum aestivum genome assembly, contig: Triticum_aestivum_CS42_TGACv1_scaffold_159927_2DL